CUUUUGGGGACCUUAACAUGCUCAAAAACUCUUGAAAAUUUGCACACACCUUAGAAUCUGUGGCCAUUAGGAGGCUGCAGAGGCUGAGACCCGGGCGUGGCACAGGGGCUCUACGGCGCCCCCUGGAACACAGUCAGAAAUGUUGAUGUAUAGUUCAAACAUACUUGCACGUAUUCAUAUGAAACUCAGUACACAUAUAGAUCUCAUUGUGCUGAACAACUUUCGUAUUGCAUGUCAUAGGCUCCGCCCAACAGGAAGUCAGCUAUUUAGAGCUAUGUAAAAAGUGCAUGCUCUGGAAUUUGAUAUACUUGUCAUAGGUUUUUUACCCGAUUGCCACCAAACUUGGUUAACAUGAUCUCAAGACAUUGGGGAUGCAAAAUUGCCAGGGGAUUUUUGAUAUCUCGAAUGGUUUGCUCGUGGCGAGGCGUUGAAAUUAUGGCGAGAAAUGAGAAACAGGAAGUGUCUAAUAACAUCCACAUACAUUUCCUGAUUUUAAUUAAACUUCAUCAAUUUGUUCGUUGUAUGAUGCCGAUCGCAUAUAUGUGACUAUUAGGAGUCAAAAUUAUAGCGCCACCAACUGGCAGCAGGAAGUGUGUCAUUUUCAAAAUGCUUUGAAUUCAGCAUCUUAUUUUUACUCAAUUUGCUUCACACUUCAUCAGAAUAAUGACAAAACACGGCCCAUGUAAAACUGUUGAGGGGAUAUUGAUAUCUAAUAUAGUGUUGCCAUGGCAACAUAUCAAACUGGAAUAUUUUUCUGUAUAAUAUAUUCUGAUUUUGAGGCAGAUAACAUGCUUAGAAUUUCAUGAAACUCAGAACACAUAUCAGUAUUAAUGAUAGCUAGACACUGGCAAAAGGUCAUAAAAGGGCGUGGAGGAGGCACUCUAUAGCGCCACCUUUUGUCAAAAGUGGGGGGCUUAGUUUUA
ensembl:lncRNA